AUUGAACGCUGGCGGCAGGCCUAACACAUGCAAGUCGAACGAGUGGCGGACGGGUGAGUAAUGUCUGGGAAACUGCCUGAUGGAGGGGGAUAACUACUGGAAACGGUAGCUAAUACCGCAUACCAUCGGAUGUGCCCAGAUGGGAUUAGCUAGUAGGUGGGGUAACGGCUCACCUAGGCGACGAUCCCUCGCUGGUCUGAGAGGAUGACAAGCAACACGGGAACGGAGAAACGGUCAAGACUCCACGGGGGGGCAGCGGGGGGGAUUAUUGCAAAAUGGGGGAAAGCUGGAUGCAGCAAGGCCGGGUGGAUGAAGAAGGCUUUCGGGUGGUAAAGUCCUUUCAGCGGGGAGGCGUUACCCGCAGAAGAAGCACCGGCUAACUCCGUGCCACAGCCGCGGUAAUUC
rnacentral:rRNA from 1 species